ensembl:lncRNA
AUGUUUUCAGUUUCAACGCAGCUGACCACAGAGGGCUCUUCAAAACCCCAGGAAGAAAGAGACAUGACAGUCCUGGAUACGGAUGCCGUGCCAGCUUUGGAGGAGCUGCCAGAAGCAUCACUGGAAAGAGUCACAGGGCCGUCAGAUACUGUGAUGGAUAAGAACCAAACAGCUCCGGACAGAACUGUAUUGAACGUAGGGCGCCAGACCUCGACUUUGGCACAGAACAAAACUGGUAUGGCAGAGGUACAGGCUUCGAUGAUGGAAAGAGGAGCUUCGCAGGAAAUGACUUCUGUGGAUGUCAACCAGCUGCAACCACAUGGUGGGAGUCAGACCUCUACGGCAACACAUAAUGUCACUGCUACAGCCAACAGAGAGACAGCGCAAAGAAAUGACCCGACGCUAUCACCCCCCCGCUACGUGAACAGUAUGCGUACAAGGAAGAAACGGGUGGGUUACCAGGAGGNGCAGGAAAGGUCGCUGAAACUCCUUCUCGCCGAGGCCAGACAGGCAAGGGAGGAUGCUGCNGCACGCGACAACGAAGCCAGGGCCAUAGAGCGAGAGCAGCUACAGCUCCUCCAGCAAGAAGCCCAACAGUGCAGCUCAGAGCGAGCAGCGCUCCUGCGCAGCAUGGAGGAGCAGACAGCGCUGUUUAAAACCUUGGUGGAGAGCAUCACCGCAUUGGCUUCAAAAUCGUGUUGCGGUGUUUGCCCCUCGUCUUCCAGUAGAGCUUCCGUGCUGCAGGACUCCCAGGGUACANUGCAACAUGGAACGGCAGAGCCUCGACGCUACCCCCUCCGAAACAGAGAAACCCAAGGCGAGAGCAGCGUUGAUGGACAGCGCUCUGGGCGUGGCACUGAGGUUGAGGAAAUCUCAGCAAGCCCACACCCCGCAGCACCUAACGUUCCAGAACCUCGACGUACACAGAGACNGCCGAAGAAAAAGGCCGCAUUCUCAGCCUGACCCACGAGUGGAUUNUGUUCUGGUCAGAAACAGUCUGGCUUCCCUGUAAAUGGCUGUGCGUUAACGCGAGAUACAGGUUCCCAGUGUUUUUAUGCUUUCUGUUUCCUGUUUUGCACAUUUUUCUGAGCUUUAUGUGGUGAGUACAUUUGGGAAAGCCAUGUUUACAAAGUGGAAGUUUCGUUUCAAUUAAAACUGAGUACUUUAUGGAGAUGUCCUCUGUGUUCUCUCUAGCACAACACCAGGAAGCGUCCCAGGAUUUUGUCACGGAGAUGUGCCGACUCACCCAUUCAUAACAUUUCCAUGGGCAUCAGCUGUGCCACCAGUGCUGUUUUGAGAAAGGAAACCAUGGAAACCUUUCAAGGUUACAAACUGUAUAUUUAUAAUAAGGAACACUAGAACUGGAACAGUAACAUUAUGAUCAUGUUUUUUUUGCUGGGUAUCGCUGAGUUAUAACCAACUCCUGGUUGGCUGCAUGGAUUCCUUCAUGGGCAGUUUUCUUGGCAGAGAUACAGAAGUGGUUUGACAUUGCCUACGUUUGGGGAGAGGCUGGGGACUGAACCAAUGACCCUCUGCAUUCCAGGUGGUUUGUUCUACCACAGAGCCAUAGCCUCUCCCGUGGUCAUGGUAACAAACAUUUUAAAUUCAACAUCAAACAUUUAAACAUGUUCCCUUUGCAGUGGUCUGCCAUAAAGAUCUUUUAAAAUUUCCUCUAGCNACUCUCCCAGUGCUGCUGCCCGAGCCACCAAAGGCCCCUGUUUCAAAGAAAGCUCACUCUGUGGCUUCUCUGUGGUGUCUUGCAAUGAUUCCUGUAGAAAACCAUAAGGAACCAUCUUAUUUUUCAGAAAACACAGGCUACCAAUGUCUCUGCCCUCAUGACACACAGCAGCCCUUUGCUUAAUAUGCUUGUGUUGUCCACCUGCCAAGGCAAAGGUAAUUCUCAGGAACUGUACAGGCCUCUAAGCAAACCCAAAGCAACCAGCAAAUUGACACUCCCACUCCC